rnacentral:rRNA from 1 species
UACGGAGGGUGCAAGCGUUGCUCGGAAUUAUUGGGCGUAAAGGGUAGGUAGGUGGUCUCAUUUGUCUGGGGUGAAAGCCUUGAGCUUAACUCAAGAAGUGCCCCAGAAACGGUGAGACUAGAGUCCUGGAGAGGGUCGUGGAAUUCCCGGUGUAGCGGUGAAAUGCGUAGAGAUGUGGAGGAACACCGAUGGCGAAGGCAGCCUCCUGGGCCAGCACUGACGCUCAUGCACGAAAGCGUGGGGAGCAAACAGG